GUGGCCGUCUAGUUGCUCGGAGACGGUCAUGCGACCAGGAUGAAAUAGGAGGUCAGAUCGAGGUUCAGGAGGAGGAGAAACAGCAGCCCGAGGAGGAGCAGUCGCAUCAGCGUGCAGUAGCCCAACCUUGUGAGCAACUCCCAUCAAUGUCAGCGGCUGCGGCAGCCGGCCUGAUCAAGCUCAAAGAGGUGAAACAGCAGCCUAGCUGAAGGGUACGGCUGUCAGAAAAGUCCAAGCUCAUCACACUGUUCGAGUUAGGCUUGUUUGGGCUCGGCUCGAGGCCUAACAAGCCUACAAGAGAGGGUUUAAUCGAACUUGUUAACUAGGAGCAGCUCAUCUGGUGAUCACAUCCGCUUCUUGUAUGUGUGUGUCUGCUCUGGUUUGAUGUUGGAUUAGAACAUCUGAUAUACACGUAGCAUGCAUGAAGACUAUCUAUUGUGCUGAUUAAAUGACUGUAGCAAACAUUUUCUCGGUUCAGUUUCUUCUUGGGUGAUUGCGGUUGCAGAACUUCAUUGUACUGAUGUGGAAAAGCCGGUGUUACGUUUAAUUUGCAAAUGACACCAUGUUCGAACUGCACUUUUUGUUAGCUAGGACAUUCUUGAACUCCCUUCCGCAUGUAAUGUCCUUGGUUGCGAUGAACUAGUACAUCUGCCUAUUGGUGUUUUUCUUCUCA